AACGAACGCUGGCGGCAUGCCUAACACAUGCAAGUCGAACGAGACCUUCGGGCCUAGUGGCGCACGGGUGCGUAACGCGUGGGAACCUGCCCUUAGGUUCGGAAUAACUCCCCGAAAGGGGUGCUAAUACCGGAUAAUGUCUUCGGACCAAAGAUUUAUGGCCUUUGGAUGGGCCCGCGUUGGAUUAGCUAGUUGGUAGGGUAAAAGCCUACCAAGGCGACGAUCCAUAGCUGGUCUGAGAGGAUGAUCAGCCACACUGGGACUGAGACACGGCCCAGACUCCUACGGGAGGCAGCAGUGGGGAAUACUGGACGAUGGGCGAAAGCCUGAUCCAGCAAUGCCGCGUGAGUGAUGAAGGCCUUAGGGUUGUAAAGCUCUUUUACCCGGGAUGAUAAUGACAGUACCGGGAGAAUAAGCUCCGGCUAACUCCGUG
rnacentral:rRNA from 1 species